UACGAAGGGGGGCUAGCGUUGCUCGGAAUCACUGGGCGUAAAGGGUGCGUAGGCGGGUCUUUUAAGUCAGGGGUGAAAUCCUGGAGCUCAACUCCAGAACUGCCUUUGAUACUGAAGAUCUUGAGUUCGGGAGAGGUGAGUGGAACUGCGAGUGUAGAGGUGAAAUUCGUAGAUAUUGGGAAGAACACCGGUGGCGAAGGCGGCUCACUGGCUCAUUACUGAGCUCAGGCGCGAUAGCGUGGGGAUCAAACAGG
rnacentral:rRNA from 1 species